rnacentral:ncRNA from 2 species
UAGAGCUACCGCGGGAGCCCAUCGUUUGAUCAACGGGCUGAGAGGGUGCAACUGACAAUAGCGCCGACCGUCAACGAACCUGAACCGGAUCAUGCCGGCGUAGGGAAGGGACCAAUGAAUGCAA